rnacentral:tRNA from 1 species
GCCCAUGUUGCUUAACGGUUAGAGCAUCAGCUGACGUACUGAAGUAUUGUGGGCUCGAUUCUCAGUCAAGGGCA